GGAAUUGCUAGUAAUCGCGAAUCAGAAUGUCGCGGUGAAUACGUUCCCGGGCCUUGUACACACCGCCCGUCACACCAUGAGAGUCGAUAACACCCGAAGCCUGUGAGCUAACCGUAAGGAGGCAGCAGUCGAAGGUGGGGUUGAUGAUUGGGGUGAAGUCGUAACAAGGUAGC
rnacentral:rRNA from 1 species